AUGUUCCCGUCCAAGUGGUGCGACUGGAUUGAUGCUCUCUUCCACUCUUCGCGCUCGGCCGUUCUGCUCAAUGGCGUGCCGGGGCGAUGGUUCCAGGUGAAGUGUGGGCUCCGGCAGGGGGACCCCAUCUCCCCCUACCUCUUCCUCAUCGUCGCUGACGUCCUCCAGCAGCUCAUUCGUCAAGAUGAUGUGAUGCGCCACCCCCUGCUUCCUGAGGCGCCCGUGGUCGUGCUCCAGUAUGCCGACGACACGCUAAUAAUCACGCUCGGCUGCGCCACGGGCGCGUUCCCACAGACUUACCUCGGGCUCCCGUUGUCCUGGGAAAAGCUGCGGUUCGCGGAUUUCCUGCCCAUGCUCGCGAAGGUGGACAUGUACCUCGCUGGGUGGGCGGCACGCCUACUCUCGCCGGCCGGCCGUUUGGUCCUCAUCAACGCGGUCCUGGAUGCGCUGCCAACGUACGCAAUGGCGGCGCUGCUGCUUCCUCCUUCGGUGGUGCACGCUCUGGACGCCCUUCACCGCUCUUUCCUCUGGAACGUGGCUGAGCGGGCCUCGGGGGCCCAAUGCUUGAUCGCGUGGGAACGAGUGUGCAGGGCCAAAAGUGAAGGAGGCCUUGGCGUUCGCGACCUCGCCACCCAGAACGCGUGCCUCCUCCUGAAGAUGCUUCAUCGCCUCCACACGACGCCCCGGUCGCGCUGGGCGGCCUGGAUUUGGAGCAGCGCGGACGGGCGCUCCAUCAUCAAGCGCGGCGAGCUGGCGCAAGGAGAACACCGCGCCUCGGUGGCGAAACUGCUCCCGCUCUACCGCACGAUCUACAGGGUGGUGGUCGGGGACGGCCGGGCCUGCUCUUUCUGGUGGGAUUCGUGGCUUCCCUGCUGGCCUGUGGCGGUGGCGUACCCCGCCCUCUUCUCCCAUGCCACGGACGACGAGGCGACCGUUUGGCAGGUCCGCCGGCGUGGCCUGGCCGGUUGUCUGGUCCCCAGACUAACCAGGGCGGGCGAGCGUGAACUGCAGGCCGUAUCGGCUCUCCUGGUGGCGGCUCCCCCCGGUGUGGGAGAGGACACGAGGCAACUGCGGCAUGCUGCGGCGCCCUGCAAUGCUCUGUCGUCGAGUGCCGCGUACCGGCUGCUGCGUUUUGGCGGGGCGCGGGCUGGCUUCGCGGAUAUGAUCUGGGGCGUGCGGAUCCCCUCGCGUGUACAGUUCUUCAACUGGUUGCUGGUCCAGAGGCGUAUACACACUAGAGACGUCCUGCUUCGCAAGUGCAUCGUCGCCUCGGCGGACGCCGGCUGCCCGCUGUGCGCUGCGCCCCUGGAAACGGCCGACCACAUGCUCUUCGCCUGCCCGUUCGCGAGGGCCUUCUGGAACAAGCUGGGCGUCGACACUGAUGGGGUCAGGGUGUGCGGGCUGCCUCGCCUUGCCACCGCGGUGGGUGCGGUGACCGGGUCGGCAGUGGAGUUCGCUCUACUGUGUUGCUGGCAACUGGAAACACAGGAACGCUGUGGUCUUCAAGAGGCAGCCGCCGUCUUGAUAUUUCGGUACAAGCUUUCCAAAUCAACCCGCGCCUACGAGGAAGGAAACCAUGCCUUGAAUGAAUACCGUGCGUCGCUUAUCCAGCAGAGGAAGGAGCAGCUGUACGUUCUCAUUGCCGGCGCCGAGGCCAAUUCCCGCACCUUCUUGCUGAACAAAAGCCUGCUCAAGGAUCUCUCUACACAAGUCAAGCCUAGACCAGAGGACCCUCAGUGGCGCAAGAUAUGUAGAACCAAGAAGGUGACCGACUUCACUAGGUCGGCGGGUAUUCUUGUUAUUUCUGGGCUCACUUAUUAUGCCUUGACUUCCCGUCCUGAAAUCGUAAGGUAUGGUGACUAUCUUGUUACUGCUGAGAGUGUGCCCAUGAUACAAGAGAGGCUGGAGGCGCAAGCCGCGCCCCGGCCGCGCCACCGCACCUUCACCGCGCCCCCGCCGUGCCUCCGGUUGCGCGCGCCCAGGUCGCCCUUCUCUUCCUCCGCUGCCGUUGCCUCUGGCUGGGGCGGCUGCUGCUUCACCUGCUGCCGCAGGUGCAGCCCCUUGGCUGGCCCUCCUCGCCUCCCAAUCUCCUCGCUCGGUGCUGGCUUGAGCCAGCGUGAGGUUCUCAGCCCCGAUCCAGAUCGAGGGGCGUUGACCUUAUCCAAAAAAAAGGCCGCCCAGAGUUUAGUCAUGUCUUCUGCGGGCUAUGUUGCUGUUCCUCGGUGCUCCGUGAUCUUUGAUGGCACCAACUACGCUGAGUUUGUGGGCUUCAUGCGCAUCCAUAUGCGGGGCCUUCUGCUGUGGGGCGUUCUCUCUGGCGAGGUUCCCUGUCCGCCCUGCCCGGUUGCUCCGGUGGGCCCUGUUCCGCCGGCACCGCCGGUGCUUGCUGCUGAAGCUUCUCAGGCUGAUCGGGAUGCAGCCAAGGCUCUGGAUGAUGCUGCAGUUGACGCUUAUGAUCAGCAGGUAUCCACCUACUCUGCUGCUCUUUCUGUCUACCGGGAUGAUCUGUCUGCCUACACUCAGUGGUGCAACGAUGAUGCUCGCACUGCUGCUGUUCUCACUGCGAGUGUCCUACCUCAGUUUGCUUCGGAGUUCAUGGGUCUUGGCACUGUUGCAGCAAUGUGGUCCUAUCUUUGUCAGCGCUAUCAGCCCUCUGGCGAUGCCCUCUACCUCUCUGUGGUGCGUCAGGAGCAUGCUCUUCAGCAGAGAGACUCGUCUGUUGAUGAGUUCUAUUCUCAGUGUUCUGCCAUCUGGCGUCAGCUUGACUCACUGAGGACAGUUGUUUGUGGAACUUGUCGUUGCUGUCAGACUACGUGGUCUGAUUUGGAGUUUCAGAGGGUUCACGAGUUCCUAGCUCGUCUCCGCUCUGAGUUUGAGCCCAGACGUGCUCACUUGCUUGCUCGCGGCCGUGUUCCUAUCUCGGAGGUCCUUGCCGAGCUUCGUGCCGAGGAGACCCGCCUCCGCUCUGCUGGUUUGCUGGUGGUCCCGUCUGUGUUGGCUGCUCGAGCUCCUGUUUCGUCUGCUCGGAUCAUCGCUCCACCGCUCCUCCCCACACCUUCAGGGGGGGGGGGGGUGAGUCGCCCCGCUUCUACUGAGAGAGGCCGGUCGCGCCGUGACACCUUCUGUGGCUACUGCUCUCGGCCCGGUCACCCAGAGUCUGAUUGCCGUGAGAAGAAGCGCGACUAG
rnacentral:rRNA from 1 species